rnacentral:rRNA from 1 species
ACUGAACGCUGGCGGCAUGCCUUACACAUGCAAGUCGAACGGCAGCACGGGUGCUUGCACCUGGUGGCGAGUGGCGAACGGGUGAGUAAUACAUCGGAACGUACCUUAUCGUGGGGGAUAACGCAGCGAAAGUUGCGCUAAUACCGCAUACGCCCUGAGGGGGAAAGCGGGGGAUCGUAAGGCCUCGCGCGAUUAGAGCGGCCGAUGUCUGAUUAGCUUGUUGGUGAGGUAAAAGCUCACCAAGGCGAGGAUCAGUAGCUGGUCUGAGAGGACAAUCAGCCACACUGGGACUGAGACACGGCCCAGCCUCCUACGGGAGGCAGCAGUGGGGAAGUUUGGACAAGGGGGGCAACCCUGAUCCAGCAAUGCCGCGUGAGUGAAGAAGGCCUUCGGGUUGUAAAGCUCUUUUGUCAGGGAAGAAACAGCAGCUCUAACACAGUCUGCGAAUGACGGUACCUGAAGAAUAAGCACCGGCUAACUACGUGCCAGCCGCCGCCGUAA